rnacentral:lncRNA from 1 species
AAAGAAAAAUGAUUCUGUCCUGAGUCCCCAAAGGACAGUUUCAGAAGCUACUUCCAAGCCCUAAACAGCAUCGCUGCAAGAACCCAGCUUGCACCGCAGCCCACAGGGGCCUGUCCCCGGCCAGCUCGGGGCCACCCGCCCGGGGGUCUGUUCACGGAGUCAAGGUGGGGAGGCCGCUGGGGGGCUGGUCUCAGCACCAGCCACCCUUGGUGCCAUCAGCGCCCCCUCCCGCCAGGGGCCCCCAGCUGCCCGGGGCUUUCAUCACCAUCGUCUCAGGGACAGAAGCCCUUUGGAGCGCCUGUGGUUGCCUCGUGCUGCCAUGAUGGGCUGGGCGGCAUCCUGGGAUGGGCGUGGGCCCUCCCGUGACUGGCCGCGUUCCUCACGGUUGGAGCGCCAGGCGUCCUGUGGGGACACACAAGUCUCACCCCCUCCAGGGCUCCUCUUGCCUCUCUGCCCUCUGCGGGCCUCACACUCCCGCAGUCCUGGGCCCUGCACACUGCCUGGCGCUUAGACCGCAGCCCGUCACGGCGGGCUGGCCUCCUAGCCGGCGACCCCUGCUGUCAGCUCCUGCCCCGCCGUCCAUGCUCCUUUCCCCUGCUGUUCCCAGCCCGCUGCGUGUCCAGGGGCUGCGGACGGCGGGCGGGGCUUCUCGGAGGCCGUUGUCCGCCCUCAGGGCCCAGGCGGGAGCCGGUGUCCACACAGCUCUGUGGCCCCUGUUCGGUUGGUGGUCAGUCCUGCCUGUGGCCCUGGGGCUCGGAGCUCGUGUGGAUCCGGCUCCUGCUCCCUGCAGGAUGUGGCGUGUUCCGCGCCCGUCUGGCUGGGAGGCAGGGCCUCUGCUUCUGGAGGCCUCUGUGUGGUCUCCCUGACGUCCUCUCCUGCCCGCCCUCUGAAAUCUCCGUGUAGAGUCCCCGCCAGCUCGGUGCCGGGCCCCGGGGUCGCUGGUUGCGUCCUGUCUUUGCUCUUUCCCGUCUGUCUUGCGUGUCUCCGAGAGGCGUCCUCUGCGAUCUGAGCCCCUCCCCGCCGUCUGCGGGAGCCUGGGCCCCGCUGUGGGGCGCCGUGAGGCCGGUCUCGUUGCCGGUCUCUUAUCCGUCUAGGUUGCCUUAUUUUUAUCUUACAUUAGAAGCUCCUGCCCAUCCAGUGACCCCGGGUGUGCUUCUGUGGAUGCUUUCUCUGGGUGGGUGGGGUUAGGAGGCUGGCCGGGGCCCCCCUCUGGGCCUCCUCUGCCAGAUACCGGUGUAGCCCCCACCCCCUUACUGGAAGGGCCGCUGCCCAUCUGCUGGGGUUGGGGGGCUCAGCAGGGAGCUCCGCUGCCAGGCCCCCUCACUCUCCCCACCAGGCACAGAGAGAGACCCCCUCACUCCCCCCCCAGGACCAGAGAGANNNNNNNNNNNNNNNNNNNNNNNNNNNNNNNNNNNNNAUUCCCCCACGACCAGAGAGAGACCCCCUCACUCUCCCCAGGACCAGAGAGAGACGCUAUCACGCCCCCACCAGGCACAGAGAGAGACCUCCUUACUGCCCCCAGGACCAGAGAGAGACGCCCUCAGCCCCGCCCCCCACGAGGCGCAGAGAGCUGGUGAGGCCCUCUCUGGCUGUGCUGGUCAGCGGGCCUGCGGGGAGACCGUCUCCGCCACGGGUGUGUGUCCUGGGAGCAUCUUGGGGGCGUCUCAGGAAGGGAGCAUCUAAAACGGGCCUGUGGGCCUGAAGCUGGGCUCUGUCUCCUCCCGGGGAGUUGGGUCCCCUGGGGCAGGAGCGGGGUGACGCCCUCACCAGGACCCUCAAACCCUGGCUCCCCAGACUGAGCGCAGGCCACCCGUGGGCACAGCUCAGGCCCGCUGGUGGGGUCGGGAGGAAGGCCCAGCUCAGGGGAGACUGCCCGAAGGCUGCAGGGAAGGAGGGGCGGGACGGCCGGGCGGGUCCUGCACCGCAGCUCAGGGCCCUCUCAGCCGCACCUGCUGCCCAGGCUGGCGGGGAGGCCAGGGGCCCUGGGCAGGGCCUGGGCGUGAGGCUUUCAUCCCUUGCACAGCAGAGUGGCCUGGGGGAGCUCGUUGGGGUGAGGGCCGGUUGGGGGGCAGGCAGGAGCUCNNNNNNNNNNNNNNNNNNNNNNGAGUGAGGGCUGGGGCGCGAGCGCGGCAGCUGCUGUCUGCUGGCUGCUGUCGGCCAAGAGUGGCCAUCGCCAGCAGGUCAGGCCUGAGGCCGGCCUGGGCCCUGGUGGGACGGCUGUGACUGUGCCACAAGCUCGGGUCCCCAGUCCCACCAGGGGAGGCCCCUGCUCGCUCUGGGAGAGGCUGGGCCAGAGCGAUGCUGUUUCCACGGAGGAAAGUCUAUCUUUUAUUUAUUUAAUCCGAGCCAUUCUGUGAAUUAUUCAUUCACAUUUAUGUAAGCGAUUGAGCUACACGGAUCGUGGGAGCAGGUGAAGACACUGACUCUGCCCCGAAUCAAAGGGGCCGCCCCCUGGGUCCUCCCUGCACUCGCCCACUCGGCGGGCUCUGCCGCUCC